GAUGAACGCUGGCGGCGUGCCUAAUACAUGCAAGUCGAGCGAACAGACGAGGAGCUUGCUCCUCUGACGUUAGCGGCGGACGGGUGAGUAACACGUGGAUAACCUACCUAUAAGACUGGGAUAACUUCGGGAAACCGGAGCUAAUACCGGAUAAUAUAUUGAACCGCAUGGUUCAAUAGUGAAAGACGGUUUUGCUGUCACUUAUAGAUGGAUCCGCGCCGCAUUAGCUAGUUGGUAAGGUAACGGCUUACCAAGGCAACGAUGCGUAGCCGACCUGAGAGGGGGAUCGGCCACACGGGAAAUGAGAAACGGUCCAGACCCCUACGGGAGGCAGCAGUGGGGAAUCUUCCGAAAUGGGGGAAAGCCUGACGGAGCAACGCCGCGGGAGGGAUGAAGGUUUUCGGAUCGUAAAACCCUUUUAUUAGGGAAAAAAAAAUGUGUAAGUAACUAUGCACGUUUUGACGGUACCUAAUCAAAAAGCCCCGGCUAACUACGG
rnacentral:rRNA from 1 species